GUGCUAUGCUCACUUCAACAACACAUAUGCUAAAAUUGAACACUACAGAAAGAUUAACACGGCCCUCGCUCAAGGAUGACUUGUAAACUCAUGAAGCAUUCCGUGUGUGU
ensembl:snRNA U6 U6 spliceosomal RNA